UACAGAGGUCUCAACCGUUGUUCGGAUUCAUUGGGCGUAAAGGGUGCGUAGGCGGUCGCGCAAGUCGGAUGUGAAAUCUCAGGGCUCAACCCUGAAACUGCAUUCGAUACUGCGUGGCUAGAGUGCUGGAGAGGAGACUGGAAUUUACGGUGUAGCAGUGAAAUGCGUAGAUAUCGUAAGGAAGACCAGUGGCGAAGGCGACUCUCUGGACGGCAACUGACGCUGAGGCACGAAAGCGUGGGGAGCAAACAGG
rnacentral:rRNA from 1 species